rnacentral:rRNA from 1 species
UACGUAGGGUGCAAGCGUUAAUCGGAAUUACUGGGCGUAAAGCGUGCGCAGGCGGUUUUGUAAGACAGGGGGGAAAUCCCCGGGCUUAACCUGGGAACUGCACUUGUGACUGCAAGGCUGGAGUACGGCAGAGGGGGAUGGAAUUCCGCGUGUAGCAGUGAAAUGCGUAGAUAUGCGGAGGAACACCGAUGGCGAAGGCAGUCCCCUGGGCCGGUACUGACGCUCAUGCACGAAAGCGUGGGGAGCAAACAGG